GGCGGAGCGCUGCGUUACCGGCCCGCCCUGCUCGGCGCGGCGCGACCCGGGUCUGCCUGCGGCCAUGGAGGCGAUCGGGCGGGCCGCGGUGGCGGAGGACGCCGUGCGCUACUGCCUCUUCGCGGCCACGGGGUCGGGCGGCGAGGCGCUGCUGCGGCGCUGCGCCGAGGGCGUCGCGGUGCGAUUCGCGCCGCUCCUGGCCGCCUACAUCUGGCAGCGGCAGCCCUUCCGCCUGCGCUACGUGCCGCCGCGGGGCGAGACCCCGGCGCACCUCGGCGGCACCACGCUGUUCGGGGAUAACGUGGAGGAUGAGUGGUUCAUCGUCUACCUCGUCCGGGAGAUCACCAGGGAGUUCCCGGGGCUGGCGGCCAGGAUCGAUGACAACGAUGGGGAGUUUCUCCUGAUAGAAGCAGCUGAUUUUCUCCCAAAGUGGCUGAAUCCUGAGAAUAGUGACAACAGGGUGUUCUUUUACAAAGGAGAACUGCACAUCAUUCCGCUGUCAGAGACGCAGGAGCAGGAAUGCGACCCAUCUGCUGCCAAUCUGACUAUCUUGCAGGCGUUAACACUGUUAUCCAGCCAUUCGGAGGAGUUCCUGGCUGCAGAAUCUAUUAGAACAGCAGUGUAUAAACGCAUCAGUGGGUAUCCUGAGAAAAUUCAGGCCUCGUUUCACCAAGCCCACUGCUACCUUCCAGCAGGCAUUGUGGCAGUGCUGAGGCAGCGCCCUUCCUUGGUGGCUGCAGCAAUCCAGGCCUUUUACCUGCGAGAUCCUGUGGAUUUACGAGCAUGUCGCUCUUUUAAGACUUUUCGCCCAGAGGAGCGUGUGAUGAGUGUAGUCACUUUCACAAAGUGUUUAUAUGCACAACUGGUGCAGCAGAAGUUUGUUCCAGAUAGACGCAGUGGAUACACACUGCCCCUUCCAUCUCACCCUCAAUUCAAAGCCUAUGAACUGGGCAUGAAACUGGCUCAUGGCUUUGAAAUUUUGUGCUCCAAAUGCAGUAAGGUAUCUCCUGAUUCUAAGAGAAAUGUGUUGAGCGGUCCUCUGUGGGAGCGAUUCCUCAGCAGCCUCAAGGAAAAAAAUUACUUCAAGGGAGAAAUGGAAGGAUCUGCUAAGUACUCGGAACUCUUGCACAAGGCAGAAGAUUACUUCCAGCAAUCUGUUACCAAGCCAGAAAGCUGUGUUGAAGUGAGCCCAGGUGAUGAAAUUCUGACAUUGCUACAGACAACAACCAUUGAUUUGAAAGAAUUGGAGAGAGAAGCAGGUUGUCUUCCUCCAGAGGAUGAUGACAGUUGGCUGGAGCUUACACCAGAUGAUCUAGAUCAGAUGCUGAAGGAGGCAAGAAGUGAGUCCCUUCAGUCCACAAAUGAGGAAGAGCAGAAAUAUGACUUGGAAACAGUUGCUGAAAGUAUGAAGGCUUUUGUAUCCAAAGUCUCAACACACGAAGGAGCAGAAAUGCCAUGGUCAUCUGACGAAUCCCAUGUCACCUUUGAUGUAGAUUCUUUCACAAAAGCAUUAGACAGAAUUUUAGGGGCAGACUCAGAAGAGCUGGAUUCUGAUGAUCUGGAUGAAGAGGAGGAGUUUGAUUUCUCAGAUGAGGAUGAUGAAAACUUCGAUGCUGAAAAUCAAAGGCCUGACCAGGAAGUAUCGCCUAAUGAGCUUAUAUGCAGUCUCAAAUCAUACAUGAAUGAGAUGGACCGUGAACUGGCACAUACCAACGUUGGUAAAAGUUUCACCACCCAAAAGAAAGGGGCAAGUUCUGUUAAAGCAGCUACAUCUGAGAACACUGCCCAUGAUUCUGGAGCUGAAGAUACUGAAUUGACACCAGUCGAUGUGGAUAUGAACCUAGUAGCUAACCUGCUUGAAUCCUAUAGUGCUCAGUCUGGACUGGCAGGCCCCACCUCUAACAUUUUACAGAGCAUGGGCGUGUAUUUACCCGAAAAUGCAGAUCAUACUGGCUCUGUCGAGCAACAGAAUAAAAGACUGUCUUAAUUCAGAAGACAUGGCUGAUGGAGAAAUGAAGCACAGAAAGACUAGCAGUGUUUGGAAGAAGAGAUAAAAGGUCACCUGUCUUUAUGGAGCAUGUUCCUUCUUGACUGCAGUGAGUACUACUCAGACUUCAGCCAGCUUUCUGAGGUGAAUGCAAGUGAGAAAAAUGUCUCUCUCAUCUUGUUUUUCUGUUCUUUUCAUAACUGUAUUGCCUAUAAUUGUCUGUAAUCAUUCCUGCUUUCUUUUAACAUCAGGAACAGAGGCCACCAUUGUUUCAUACCCAAGUCAAAAGGGUAUGGACUAAGGAUUUUUUUUCUUAUUGGUAAUUAAAAGGAACAUGCAGACCUUUAAAACUGUGUUUUAAAAGGUGAGUCACAGAAGCAAACAAAUGAGAAAAUAGCUUUGAUUUUCCUGUAACUUUCUUCUUGUGGAAAACAGGCAGUAACUGAUGAAAUCUGAAAAAGCCCGGUGUAGUCAGAGUAUUAGACAGACUGCAACACUUGUGAGUUGUUCUGAAGUCUGUGGACAUCUAGCAACUUCAGCCUGGGCAGUGUCUGGCCCACGAGCAUCAAGCAAAGGGGCAGCAGUAAUGAUGACACCUUCUGUGACCAGCCUGCCUUCUGCUGUGGUGCCCACAUCACCCCAAAGGGACACCCUCCCAAGACAGGUCUGUAUCAGCAGUGUAAAAAGGACAGUUCAGAAGAAGCUAGUGACAGCCAGUCAGUACUUGCUUUCUUUCAGUUAGAGCUCACUGAUAGCCUGCAAUGUUGAUAUUAAAAAACAUAAUUGGAUAAGCGGAGCAACCCAGCAUUUGCCAAACGCAGGAGAAUUUUCUCUGAUGGUGGAUCUGAUCCCACUGCAGCUGGUUUGACAAAGACCUACACUGCAGGUAAGCACUGUAAAAGUGCAAAAACAAAGCACACAAAGCUCAGAUAACUGCAGAAGUCGCACAGCUGUGCCUCCUCUCGCUCAUAGGUACUACUUUUUGCUGCUUUCACUUCUUAGUCCUUUUUCUGCCACUGGGAUAAUACAUCAUGUGUGGAUAUUAAAAGUAUUAAGUAUGUUGAGCUGGAUGUUGGACACUGGAAGCAUGCUCCGGGCACAUUAAUGACCUACAUAAGGGUGAGCUGGGAAGGCAUUAAGGAGAAGUGGGAAGGAGGAUGAGAAGCGGGUUGUCUUGCUGGCAAGUAUCUUAACUCUUCAGUAUCUUCUACUGCAGAGAAGGGAAAGAAAGGAGUGAGGCUGAAAAUGAAAAUGGCAGAUUCCAGAGAUGAGAGAGGAAGAGGUAAAUGCUAAGGAAUUAGAAUGGUGUGAUGGGAGAGAAAGCAGGGGGAAUUACACCAAGACGUUUCAAAGAAAACUGGAUGCAGGAGUGUUGUAGUUAAGUUCAGUGGUGUGUGGGCUCCUGUGGUGUGUCUGGCUGGGCUGGAGGGGAGGAAGCAAUGCCCUUGGCUGUACCAGCGCACAUUCUUACCAGGAUGACUGACGGAGUUCACAAACAUGAAAAAUAUGCUCUAUCAUAUGUGUUUUAUUGACUGAGAGGGUGGGAAGGGUGUUUGCCCAUGCCAACAUGGCCUGAAAGAAUCCCCUCCCAACCUCCUAAAGUAAAAUUAACCCGAAGAAACAAAGCAUGUCUCAGUGGUAUGAGAAAACCUUUUUACUUACUGCUCAGUUGUCAUGACUCCAGAUUUUUACCAUUGCUCAAAAGGUCUUUCACCUGCAGUGAAUCCUAAUGGUGACAAUCAGUGAUGCAUUCCUGUUCCCCCUUCAAGUACCUGUACUGAUGGCCUUGCAAUCUUGGCACUGGAACUCUCAUCAAAUAGGCAGAAUGGACUGUCAGCCUGAAUCAGCAGCAGAUCAACCAACCUUCCAUCUGUCUCUUGCUAAGCUUUCCUUACCCAGGCUGGCUGUUUGUCACUCUCCUUCCAGAGAAGUGAUACCAUUUCACCAGUAAAACAAGGCCAGCUCUGCAGGCAAGCCACAGACACUGGCACACGGUAAGAGGCAUUGUACCUUUCAGGAAUUUUCUCUGUCAGAAGUGCAGUCCUUUCUUGCAGCAGUUCCUCUCACGUUUGCAUUAUCUGGGUUCUUCUGAUAUGCUUAUACGUAGGUUUUGCUCUUCCACUCUCUACCACCAGAUAGCUCUGUUCUCUCUUCCUUGGGAUGGGAAGUAACACUGUCUUACCAGUGGGGAAAAUGGUGCUUCUGAAGAUAUUUUUAUUAGCUCAGAUUUAUCAACAAAAUAGAAGCCUAUUUUAACAUUUGAAAAAAAACAUAUUUUACAUUAAACUAGAAGAAUGAAUGGGAAAGGAAGCAGAAGAAGGGGAGAGCAUACAGGAUACAGGCAGUGGUUUUUCUUAUGGUUUUUGGGGAGGCUUUUUUUUUUUUUUUUUAUAUUUCUUCCAGAUCCAUAUAACUGUGAACACUGAAAGAUGCCACUGUGCCGUUAUUUUUUUCUGGAAAAGGGAUGCAUUUGAUAUCUAUUCAAGAUGGAUAAAAUGGUGGAAAAUGAGACAUAGGUGCCAGGGGCUCAUUAUUCUGGUGCUUGCUGGGCAACAGCAGCAGCUGGGUCACAGUAAGUGUGAUGCUGUGGAACUAAGAAUUUUAUUGUAUGUUUACAGCAAGACAUGGGAUCUCAAAGGUGAUCUGCUCUUCAUGGAAUUGUCUGAAGAUGAUCAGUUUAGAAAUGGCUUUGUAGGUCUACGUAUUAGAGUGUAAGACUGCCAUCAGUCUGGUGCUGUUGUCACUGUAACAUAGACUUUGCCUUCAGUAACUUUGGAAGCUUUUUUUAUUGAACUUUCAUAGUUCUGGUAUAAUCACAGACUUGAUAAAGUCACGUCUAAGCCGGCUGGGAAGUCUGCUGCUUAACCCACUCACAAAUCAGCUCGUGAGCAAUGGCCUGUUUGGGAGGGAACCAGGGUAAAAAACUACCAUCAUCUUGCUUUGAAGAUCUGGGCUCUCUCUUGAGACCCUCCACGAUUUCCUCCAGGCCAAACCAGCGGGCUUCCUCUAGUUCCAGCCUGUUCAUACUGAUCUGGAAAGAAUUCAGAGAGUACCAGUUCCUUAAAUUAGAUUUAAAUAUGGGCAGCGGUACCUUGCUUGUUCUUGCACCCACAAAGAUCCUAUGCUAGAAUGCCCAGAGUGCUUUAUCCAUAACGGGAUUAACUGCUGAAGCCAGUACAGGAAAGGACACUACCAUCCACCAGUGUUCUGUUGUCUUGGUUUCCUUAGGGAAGCCACAAAUCAGCCCUAUUCCAUUAUGGCACUGGAGUGCAAAGUAUCAGCGGCUAAGCACAGUAAUUAAUGUGGCAGAAUGUGAUAUUAAUGGCAAAUAUUAAUACUAGAGAGUAUCUCAUCUGCAAAGUUCAGAGGAAAAAAAUUAGGGGUGUUAGGCUCUGGGUUUGUAUAUGUACAGAGAUCUGUGCAAAAUCUGGCAUGUUGCAACAGAAGAUAUCAUUAUUUUGAAGUUUGUUCUUCACUUCUAGAGAAAGCUGAUGGAAAAACUGCAUUUAGAGAGGAUUUGUUGUUCUCCAAACUAAAGUUUGUGGACUGAAAGAGAUUUUGCUAUGUGAGGUGGGCAGUGAAAUGCCCCAGAGGAACCUAGGUCUGCUCACCUCAGCCUGCUGUGCCCUCACUGUAGCGUGACAAGCUAUCAUUAAGCAGCUGCUGGGAAAGGGCCAGUGCUGAGAAGCUGAGUACCAGAGUGACUCCACCUCCAGGCCAACCUCUUCUGCCACCUCUCGAUGGACUGUCUCCUCGACAUUUUCACCUAGAAGCAACCAGAGUCGGGGUAAGGACAGCCUGGCCUCAGGGCAGUAAACCGUGGCAAAGAAAAUGUAGGUACACUCAUUCCUGAGGUGUUCCAGUGCUGACUGCUCACGCAUAUGCAGGAGCUCUGGCUGUCCUGACCUGGAAACACUUGUCAGCAGGAUGCUCAAUUAAAUUUAUCAACAAUGCUUACCUUCAUUAAGCAGAGACAUCAGAGACAUUUUUUGCUUUGUCUAUAUACAGCUGGUAGACAGAACAAUGCUGCCUCUGUUCAUCAUUUCCCUUUUUAAGCCAUUUUCCCUUGUGUAACAAGAGGUCUGUAGUUUUUCUUCUGUGCCACUGAGCCAGACUGCACUAGACACAAAAUGGACUAAAAAAGUAUCUGGGGUUCUAACCUGGUGAGUCUUAUACAUGUAUUUACUUAUCAUCAGGGACUAGAGCCACUGAUACAUACCCAUAAUUCCCAUUAUCUUCAGAUAAAUACAGCUAUUUUGAAUUCUGUCUGGAUAAGAAGGCUUAUCUAUUUAGAUCCAAUAUGUUUUUCCCUGAUAUCACUUAAUGUGUCUGUCCAUCCUCCUCUGUGCACAAGUGUUUGAUGUCUGCGCACUCUUCCCCCACACCCUGCAUGUCCGAGGCCACUGUGCUGGAUCAGAGACCACCUUACCCAUGUCACAGAAGCCUGACAGAGCAGAGUACAUCCCCUGGGGAAAUGAGGGCUGUCGUGCGAGGAGGCACCGGCUCCCAUCAGACACCAAGGUGAUAAUCACUGGAGACAUCUAGCAAAUGCAUCAAAAAGCAAAGCAAGAAGUUCAGACCAAACAUGUUCUCCUCCAUGCAACCCAGCAGCAUUGGCUUGUCACCACAGAGACCCUGUGUUGAUUACAUGUGCUGUUCAGAUGCUCACCUGUGGAUAGUAAGUUAUUCCGCUGGCAUGACAGACACGCUUGCUGCCAGCUACGUUUCUCUGAGUGGGCUGUCCAGUUUUGCUACAGUACUGGUGGGAAUCGUGCCACUGGAGAAGGGACUGGGCCUGCGAACACCAAGAAAGAAACACAAAUCUUAUUUCUACCUUCUUGAAAAAUAGCCCAAGCACCAAAACAUUAUAAAGCAGGAAAAUAAACAUGAACUGUUUCUACUUAUGGGUCAGGACAGCUGAUUUUCACACACAUAGGUCUUUUCAUACCCUACAUUGCAAAUGUAGGGUAUCUGCAGAUUAACAGCUUAUAAGUAAGUAGUUUUGAAAGAGAAGCUCUGAGAGAAGAUCUGUACAUUCAUUUGUGAAAUUCAGUUUGCCUAGAAGAUUACAGAAAACAAGUGCUGGAUAGUUGUUAAGCUGAGGACAAGCUGGGAUUGCAGUAACUGCUGAUAAGUAUGUUUCACACUGGACAUGAAGCAGGUUGAUGCUAAAUGGCUAAUUACUUCAGAUUUGGUUUUAAGCCACUUGUCUGUUUCUCCUUCCAUUGCAGCUUGCUUUUGGGAUCACAAAUUUGGGAAAACUGUUGUAAUUUAUAGUGUGUUUGUACCUAGGUCACUGAAAGUGUGCAAUACAUACUUCCACAAUACAUAUUUAAUCAUAAAACAAUAUGGGAGACAAGGAGAAGGUUUAUGUUAGAAAUCUCAGCUUCUUAAAGUAAAAUAUCCUGUACAGUACCGAAGCCAGCAAAGGAGAAUCCUUCCCAUCCACUACAAAGAGAGCCUUUCGUAAGUUAGUAAAUGAUCCCUUGAGUUCAGACUCAAUGACUGAUUUUUCCAAAGCUCCUGUUUAAAAAAACAACAACAAAAAAAAAAUCUUUGAUCUCAUAAAUCACAGUUAUUAUCCCAACUUUACGCCCUACAUUGUUCCGGUAUACAAUUUCUGGAAGUUCCUGUGGAAGUGACACCACAUCAGUGGAAACAUUCCCAAAUGUUAAGUGGCCUGCCAACAGCCCACCUUUGCUGACACAUGUAUAGUUCUGUGUCUCUGACCCAUCACACUCUAAACAGCUCCUGUAGAGACUCAACUGAGUCUUCUCUGGUAGUAAGUGUUCACCCAGCAAGGAUUAGGGAUGCUGCUGAGGCAGCAUCUUCAUCUUGGUGCAUCAAAUGUGAUGCUGACACAGAUGGAAGAGGAGUAAUCCCAACCUAAAUCCAGGGCAAAGUGUGGUAUGUGCUCGUCUGAACAACCAAUCAGCACCGACUUCUCUAUCCACUGUUCUGUCUCUUUGAAUUCCUCCAGGAUCCUUUUCAUCUCUAAACAGCAGGGGAAAGGGGAAGAAAAAUCUGUGAUGAAAGCACAUUCAUACAAACAUUAUGCUCUCUCUGGAUCUUCAAGGCACAUGCAAUCUUGGCUCAGAGCAGGGUGCUCAUGUAAGAGAAGGAACUAGACAAGUGGUCCUGCCUGAAUGGAGACCGUAAGUCUGGCUUUCCUCUUAGCUGUUGGACGUUUUGACCAUGUCAACCUAAAGAUGCAAAUGCUGUAAUGCCUUGGGAGCAGCUGUCCAUUCUGUUUCUGUCCUAGACCAGCCAAUACCUUUCUCUAAUUGAAAACUUUUCCUGUGUUACACUAAAUGACCUUUGUCAGAUAGACCUUGCUUGUUUUCCUGCCAGCCCUUUCUCUUUGAAAGGCAUAGUCCCAAAUGUUCAAAAAUGAUCAUUACAAAACACAUCAGGUAUAUGUUGAGAUAUAUAUGUGUUGAUAUAUAUAUGUGUGAAGAGCAUGAGCUUGUGUCUGCAUGCCAAGGUUUUAAAUUUGAAUAGUCUUGGUUGUUAACAAACAGUGUCCUGCAUAUAGCAGGAUGUUCCUGCACAGCUUGAUAGAUUUUCAACACCUAUAUGAGGGGUUGCUUAUUGCAAAGGACUCUUAUCAUUUUAGUUGUGUGAUCCAGGAGGUAUUUCCAGACACCUGCUUACCUGCUGCACUGAGCUGUGGUACGAAAUAUUUCUCCCCAACUUUCUGCAGGAAGGGAGAGAGAUUGUGAAAUAGGUAGAAAGUUCCUGAGGUCUGGGCUUGUCUACAAAGGCUGUCAUCUUCCUUUAGCUCAUUUAAGUAUCUGCAGUGAGAGAAGAAUUGGGAAGAUGAAUUAAGAUCAUGUUGAGAUUACCUUGUUACGCUUAUUUGGACACAUUUGUGUUCCACAGAGUAGGGGGGAUGAGCAGACAGUACAGAUUUUAUGUAUUCCACAUGCUUGUAGAGUUUCCGACAGCUGAGUCUACUCUUUGGUGGACUGUAGCCCCUAGCAAAGGUGCCAUGUGGCAGAAAAUAUUGCAGUUGUUACUACCCAAGCAGCCUCAAGUCUUGGACAUCCAAGAAGAACACUAACCCAGUCUCUUACUCCAAGAAGUCUGCUUUACAGACAUGAUCGUUUGUGUGCAGGAGACCUUCAUCUUCCCUUUCAUCCCCUCCGUCUGGAUGGCUUCAAGUCCUGUUUUGCAAGGCUACUUGAGCACUUCAGAUGUGGAAUAUGUUUCCCAUCAGGCUACAUGCAUUGCUGCAGGGUACGUUCUACCUGUCACAUUGACAUGAGGGGUAAAGACCAAGCUGAAGUCUUAUGGCCCAGUUUGCUGGGGCCUGAAUUAGGAAAAGCAAUCAUUGCAAAAAGGGUGUCAGGAUGUGCUGCUUUCAGACUGCUUGAAGUAGUAUUUAAAAAGAGGUGAGCAGCAUUGCUUCAAGUUUGUUUGUAUUCUAAGAGAUCUUUAGCUAGGACAGCAAACUUAGGCAUUCAUUAACAGAGCUUCAGCCUCAGGGAAUCAGUUCUUUACACUGGUGAACAGAGUGGAGAGAUUUUUGACUGUUAUCAUUUAGGGAGCUCUCAUAGCAUUACCACAUCAUUGUUCAACUGUUGGAAGAUUAAAAGAUUUAGGUAGGGCUGCUUGUGACAGUGGAUACAAAGGUGCCAAACUCUGGUCUUCUCACUGUACACAAGAACUUACCUCAUUUUUCUAACAUAGGUAGAGUGUAACUUGCACAUGAGAGAGGAAGCUCUUCUAUGCGCUGCUUGAUAAAUUGCAGCCAUAACCAACACCUAGAAGUAGCUGUCUCUGCCUAAAAAGAGAAGCAUAGAAUAUAAUGCAGAGACUCUACAAAGUUAAAUUUGAUUUAAAGGUGCAAUAACCCACUAGCAGAAAUCUCCCUCUUACAGAGUCUGGCAUCUGCUUUCUAAAAUAAUUGCUUUGGUCUUCACUCCUAGUCACACAUCAAAUCCACUUUCAGGCAAUCUUUAAGACUACUUAAAGAUACCUCAGUUUGUUUCCAUCUGUAACUGUGCACAGGUCCUACAGAAAUUGCAGUAAGACUACAUUAAAUGUUCCUGUCCUAAAUUCUUGUAUCCCUGGGGAAAAGAGGAGUGAAGGUGGCUGCUCUGUUGUUUGUUUCCUACACAGUUUGUAAUGGCCUCAAUCCAACCGAACAUCCUAUUGCAGCACACAGUAGAUCUGUGGGAAAGGCACUGAUGCCAGAAGAGAAUGAAAGACAAAAUAUCAGCUGUGGAAGAGAAUUCCUCGAGUUAGACAAGAGACAGCAGUUGCAGCUGAACUGGAUCGUCUCCAGCUAUGAAUGCUUUUUGUGCCAAACAGUCCUACCACAUUUUCAGCUCAGGCAGUCACAGACUGCAGUUUGAUCUCAGCUUCAGGAUGUCAGAAAAUCGCCAGAAAUGCUACUAUCUCUAGCAUUCAUCUGAAACAAAAAAUAAGUAUGAUUCAUAAUCCUUAAUGAUUAUUUUGAAUAUUUCACUUUCCAGCCAUAGAACUUAAAGCCCUUUAAGGAGGAAGUUACAUUUGCUUUGAUUUACAGAUACAUAAGCAGCUGCCAAAGAAGGAUCUUGAGAGUUCUUCCUUCAGUAAAGGUCCCUCUUUCCCACUGUCUCAGCUGAGGGUGGUUUUCACCAGGAUGAUCCCUGGUGAGACAGGGGAGCCAAGCCUGCUGCAGAAACUAGUGGGAAGAGCAUAGGCAUCCCUGCUCAGAGCUGCAGUCGCAGCACUGGGAACUCGGCACGCUGCCAGCAGGCUCAGGCAGACGCAUGUGAGGACUGACACCGACACAGAGACCACGUCUGAAACAGUUCUGUGGUGUGAUGAUUACGUGUCCGUCACUUCUCCACCUCCAUGUCUCAUAGAGCCUGGCUUGUGAAAAUCUGCAGCACAGCAGCAGCCUGUGCUGAAUUCAGGAGCUCUGUACUUUGGAAUGAGCAGCAGAGUGUGACUGGGGCAGGGACAAGAGGAAUAGCUUGUACCUGGAAUGAGGAAAUGCAACAUGUGCAGGCAUUUAACCCCUUCCUUCCUAGGAACCACAGCGCCAGAAUUUGGUUAGGAUCAUUGGAAACUUGGAGACAGUGAAAACUUGAUCUCAGGAGGCCAGCCCAAACGCCGGUCUUGCCUGUAAAUCUCACCUAUGCAGUACAGCUGGCAGGUGGUGGAUCUAGGCCUGUCAUUCCCCGUACGUUUUCCCCACUUACUGUGCUCAGUGCAGGAGUGCUGUGUCCAGCAGCAGGGAUCAGCUAGCUGUGAGAGUCCCACGUUGACCUCGGUUAGAAGCACUGCUCGUACAACAAACAGCGGAGCAGCUGGCUCACUGGGUCUGACUCGAUCUUCUGCCACUGGGAGCGCUGGGAAAUGUAGUUCUACACAGGCUGCUCGCAAGCCCUUGGCAAAGAUGGAUGGCUGGAUUUUGAUUAACUUCUGGAGUUAGUUAGGAUGCCUGACAGCAAACUCUUUAUUUUCCGCACCUGCUUCAUUCUAUCAGGAAACCAGAUGCUGUAUUUUGCAGAGCAGAAGUUAUUAUGAGAACAAUGGUACUGCAGUAAUUUGAGCUGUUCUAGCAGAGAAGUUUGUUCCUGGUAGUUUCUUUCCCUUUUUUCUUCUAAGCUUCUCUGUUUUUUGUAUCAGUAACAUAAAAGCAUUGUGUAAAGUUAAGAACCAUAUGUCCUCAAACAGGAAAAUAUGCCAAGAGCUGUAUAUAUAUCUAAAGGACGGAGCUGUUUAUAGUGUUCAAGUACCCAAACCCACAGUUGAAUUUGUAUGUGAAUAGUGCUGAUCAGAAAGUGUGCUUUGCCAAGACAGAUGUCAGAAUAAUGACAAAUUAUUCUCAUGCCUUUAUAGCUGAACAAACAGAUUCCUCCCAAGUACUGAAAACAUUAUUCUGGGCUGGAACCUACCUGCCUAUAUUUAGCACAAAGAGAAUUUUAUAAACAUAUGAAAGUAAAUGUUUUGCUUUUUGGUUGUGAAUUGAGACAUUCUAAUCGAGAGUUCACAUCAUGUAAUUUGAGAGCAUAGCUUGUAAAAAUAAUAAAUAGAAUAUGCAGCGAAAUA